rnacentral:rRNA from 1 species
CCUACGGGUGGCAGCAGUGAGGAAUAUUGGUCAAUGGACGAGAGUCUGAACCAGCCAAGUAGCGUGAAGGAUGACUGCCCUAUGGGUUGUAAACUUCUUUUAUAUGGGAAUAAAAUGUUCCACGUGUGGGAUUUUGUAUGUACCAUAUGAAUAAGGAUCGGCUAACUCCGUACCAGCAGCCGCGGUAAUACGGAGGAUCCGAGCGUUAUCCGGCUUUAUUGGGUUUAAAGGGAGCGUAGGUGGAUUGUUAAGUCAGUUGUGAAAGUUUGCGGCUCAACCGUAAAAUUGCAGUUGAAACUGGCAGUCUUGAGUACAGUAGAGGUGGGCGGAAUUCGUGGUGUAGCGGUGAAAUGCUUAGAUAUCACGAAGAACUCCGAUUGCGAAGGCAGUUCACUGGACUGCAACUGACACUGAGGCUCGAAAGUGUGGGUAUCAAACAGGAUUAGAUACCCUUGUAGUC